rnacentral:rRNA from 1 species
GAUGAACGCUGGCGGCGUGCCUAAUACAUGCCAGUCGAGCGAACAGAUGAGGAGCUUGCUCCUCUGACGUUAGCGGCGGACGGGUGAGUAACACGUGGAUAACCUACCUAUAAGACUGGGAUAACUUCGGGAAACCGGAGCUAAUACCGGAUAAUAUAUUGAACCGCAUGGUUCAAUAGUGAAAGACGGUUUUGCUGUCACUUAUAGAUGGAUCCGCGCCGCAUUAGCUAGUUGGUAAGGUAACGGCUUACCAAGGCAACGAUGCGUAGCCGACCUGAGAGGGUGAUCGGCUACACUGGAACUGAGACACGGUCCAGACUCCGACGGGAGGCAGCAGUAGGGAAUCUUCCGCAAUGGGCGAAAGCCUGACGGAGCAACGCCGCGUGAGUGAUGAAGGUCUUCGGAUCGUAAAACUCUGUUAUUAGGGAAGAACAAAUGUGUAAGUAACUAUGCACGUCUUGACGGUACCUAAUCAGAAAGCCACGGCUAACUACGUG